GAUUACUUGUCUGUUGUGAAUGGCCCAGUCAAUGCCAGACUAAUUGAAAUUAUUACCUGGUUACCUUUAACAAUCUAUUGUACUAAGCUUCUUCAAUUUGUAGUUGGACAUCAUGCCAAGCAUUCUUCUGAAACAGCUUGUAAAUUUGUGUAUGUUUCAUACAGCCCUAAACUUCUGUGGCCUAGCAUAAAAACUAGUUAGACAAAACAAAUGCUUUGAUCGUAAAUUAAGGUAGAUCUGCUAGUACAUAAAUACCCACCCUAGCUUGGGAGGACAGAAAUGGAGGGGAAGGAGUUGUUGCCAUAUCUAGCUGUUAUUCUGAUUUUCGUUUCUCAUCUGUGACCCUUGCUCACUAUAAAAGUGGUGAUACUACUGCUGUUUUAUGAAUGGUAUUGUAGAAGUGCUUUCAAAUUUUCCUUAGAGCAGUAAAAGUCAAAUCUUGAACUAAGAUAAAAAUAUUCUCUUUUGUAUAUUACACGCUAGGAAAAAUCCCUUGCUUUUUGCAGAUGAUGUUUACAGGGAAAACAUCAUGUCUGUACUGGGGGCUGACCAGAGAAGGCUUUCCUUAUAGCAUAAAUGAGGUUGUUUUGGCAAGGAUCUGGCAUUCACUUUAAAAAUUUUAAAAAACAAACAAAAUCCGGUGACUUCAGUUAGUCUUCAGGCUUGUGGUUCAUUGUUUCAUAACAAGUUUUGGCCAAAGAACUAGUAGGAGAUAAUGAGAUUAUUUUCAUAGACUAUUAUCUUGUUCUGUGAUUCAUGUGUAGUAAGUACUUGUCUUAAAAUCCACUCUAGUACUUACUCUUUGAUCUAUUGUUUGAAAAGUUAAAUAUUUUUGUACUGUAGAUGAUGUUGAAUAAUCCUUUAUUUGCUGGAAAUCCUCAACUUCAGGAACAAAUGAGACAACAACUUCCUACUUACCUUCAACAACACAACUACUUUGAUCUGCUCUUGUGCCUUUGCUUAAAAAGAAGACUUGUUCUUACUGCACACCAGCUAGAAAACACUUCUGUUUGCUACAUAAUUUGUUUUGCUACUAAGGUAAGUCUUACCUGUGCUUUUCUCAUGCCUUUCUCCAUCCUGACCUAAAAAUUUUGGGGUAAAAAAGACCUCAUGGCAUGCCUUGAAAGAGACAAAUUGUGAGUUAAUUCAAAAGAAACAGAGUGGGUUCUGAAGAUAUUUGCCUGUAAAGAUUGUCCUACCACCAGCUUCCCCUCUUAAACCAUUGUGGUUGCAGCCCCAUUAUCUGCUUGACUUUAGUUGUCACAGUGUAUAUGAGGGCUGUGUCCUCUAAAUAAGAGUUAACAAAAUUUUUAGGAAUUGAAAAUGUAACUCAGUGCAUGAGUUCCAUCAUUAGGUAGUCCUUGCAAAUCAAAGUAAAUGUGUGUUGACAGGAUCUUAUUGCAGGUAGGCAGUGUUAUGAGUAAAAUAAAUAAUAAUAACAUGAAUUACA
rnacentral:lncRNA from 1 species